AGAGCAUUUGGACUAUAUCACUCUAACUCUGCAGCAAGCUUUCCUGAAGUGGAGUUGGAGAUAGCAUUUCAGUAAAUGUCCUUUACCCACUGCUUAUUCGGGACACACCCUGUUGACUGCUAGAAAUUUUCAUGGGACACAAUUUUGGGAAGUGAGACAUUAGGAGAAGUGAGCUGUCCUCUCCUGACAAGAAAUGUGCUUGGCAGGCUGUGAGUACACGAGGAGUUGAAAGAGUAAAAAGGUGAUCGUCUCAGUGGACUAACUUCCAAUACUACAUUGACUAAAUGUGGGAAAAGUGGAGAAAACUCAUUGUGUUCCUGAUAUUAGAAGAAAAGCUUUCAGUCCUUCACCAUUGAGUAUGACAAUCAGCUCUGAGAAUUUCCAUAUAUAGCCUUUAUUUUGCUGGGGUAGUUUAUUCUCCUUCUAGUUAUUUGGUAUUUCAAUCAUGAAAAGGUGCUAGGUGCUGAAUUUUGUGAAACUGAAUGUUCUGCAUUCACUGACAUGAUGUGAUUUAUACCUUCCACUCUGCUCAUGUGGAGUAUUACAUUGAUAUUUGUAUGUUGAACCAUAAUUAUAUUCGCCUUCCAGGAAUAAAACAGUUCGGUCACUAAGUGUAAUCCUUUUAAUAUGCUGCUGGAUCUUGCUGGUAUUUUGCUGGUGAAUUCUUGCAUCAGUAUUCAUAAGGGAUAUUGGUGUAUAAUUUUAUUGAAUUGUCUUUUUCUGGUUUGGCAUCAGGGUAAUACUGACCUGACAGAAGGAUCAAAGAAGUGUUCUCUCUUCUUGCAUUUUUGGGAAGAGGUUGAGCAGCUAUGGUGUUAAAUGUUCCUUAAAUGUGUUGAAGCGUUUGCCAGUGAAGCCAUCUGAUCCUGGGCUUUUCUACAUUGGGAGGUUUUGGAUUACUGAUUCAAUCUCCUUACUAGUUAGAGGUCUACUCAGAUUUUUUUGUCUUCAUAAUUCAGAUUUGGUAAGGUGUAUGCUUUAAGGAAUUUGUCUAUUUCAUCUAGUUAUACAAAUUCUUGGCAUACAAUUGUAUAUAGUAUUC
rnacentral:lncRNA from 1 species